UAUUGCUUAAUUGGGUGUACGUGCCCUC
rnacentral:sRNA from 1 species